AUAUUGCGCAAUGGACGGAAGUCUGACGCAGCGACGCCGCGCGAGCGAUGAAGGCCUUCGGGUCGUAAAGCUCUGUCCUUGGGGAUGAAGGUCUUCGGACUUGACGGUACCCAAGAAUAAAGCCCCGUCUAACUACGUGCCAGCAGCCGCGGUAAUACGUAGGGGGCGAGCGUUGUCCGGAAUUACUGGGCGUAAAGGUUGCGUAGGGGGUCCUUUAAGUCAGAUGUGAAAGCCCGCAGCUUAACUGCGGAAUUGCAUUUGAAACUGGAGGGCUUGAGUGUCGGAGAGGGUAGUGGAAUUCCCAGUGUAGCGGUGAAAUGCGUAGAUAUUGGGAGGAACACCAGUGGCGAAGGCGACUGCCUGGACGAUAACUGACGCUGAGGCACGAAAGCUAGGGGAGCAAAC
rnacentral:rRNA from 1 species